AUUUAAAUAGUUUAAUUAAAAUAUUAAUUUGUGGAAUUAAAGAUUAUUUUUUAUAUUUAAAUA
rnacentral:tRNA from 1 species